AUUGAACGCUGGCGGAAUGCUUUACACAUGCAAGUCGAACGGUAGAGGGGGCAACCCCUUGAGAGUGGCGAACGGGUGAGUAAUAUAUCGGAACGUGCCCAGUCGUGGGGGAUAACGUAGCGAAAGUUACGCUAAUACCGCAUACGAACUAAGGUUGAAAGUGGGGGAUCGCAAGACCUCAUGCUCAUGGAGUGGCCGAUGUCGGAUUAGCUAGUAGGUGAGGUAAAGGCUCACCUAGGCGACGAUCCGUAGCGGGUCUGAGAGGAUGAUCCGCCACACUGGGACUGAGACACGGCCCAGACUCCUACGGGAGGCAGCAGUGGGGAAUUUUGGACAAUGGGGGCAACCCUGAUCCAGCCAUGCCGCGUGAGUGAAGAAGGCCUUCGGGUUGGUUAAAGGACUCUUUUCCUAGCCGGGAAGGAAAGUACGGACGGCCUCUAACAUA
rnacentral:rRNA from 1 species